rnacentral:lncRNA from 1 species
CUUAAAAAAAAGGUUAAUAAAACAAUACCAAAAAUAAAAAAAAAUAUAUGAAUCGUCCGGGAUUUGAACCCGGGACCUCUCGAUCUCCGGUCAUACGCUCUCCCACUGAGCUGUAUUCCCUUUGCUUUAACAGGUUACAAGAUUUCUCAUACAUACUGACAAAUUUAAUAGACCAAGUGAAGUAUACAAAAAUACUUUAAAUAUACUUACUAUUAUUAUAAAAUAUCUUAUUUCCGAGGAAGACAAGUCCAAAGA